rnacentral:sRNA from 1 species
AUAAAAGUUUUCUAGGGUUCCGCGGUCGCAAGACUGGUCCGGUCCGAGAGAAAACGCACAGCCAAGCGGCUGUGACACGGAGGGAUAAAAGCCUGGGAGAU